AUAAUUAUAGUGCAAGAGUGAAAAAGGAGAUUUGAGAGAGAAAGGAAAAGCGAUAAGAAAACCCUAGUAGCCGCCAUCAACUUUGGCUUGGAGGAGGGGUGGAUUCCGGUGAUUCGUUGCCGUGAGAGUCUUCUCCUCCUCCUCUUCUUGUUAUUAUGUUGUAUGUAUCUCUGUUACCCACCUCUGUUUCUCUUCUUCACACGCCGUCGAGAUGCGAGCUACUCUUGAUUUCCAUGGAUUUUCUGGUGGAUUUACAACGGUGAGACAGUUUCUGUCACGUUGCUGGAGUAGCAGCGAGAUGCUGCAAGGAGUCGAGAAGGAGGGGCUUCAUAUGAGAGUAAUUUCGAUCUGGGUGGGUUAGUUCUGUGGCUAGGGGCGAAUGGAGGCGUGUGGAGAGUGUCUCCUUCGUGUGGUGGUGUUGAACCGUUGGGUUUCAAAGGUUCAGAUGUGCUCUGAUGCUCCUCUCCAUCUUGGCUCCUCUCCCCUGUUUUGCCUACUUAUCUACUCAACGGAGAGGUUAUAUCUUCUGAAUCCUUUUUUACCUUAUAGAUUGGCUGUUUUAGUCUCUUCUUGGUGUCGGUACGGCAGUGGCGUUAAUGACGAAUCCGUGAGCAGAACAUGUUUAGCAUCCUUGUUGUGAAGAAGUUGGUUGGUGUCACCUCUCCAUUUCCAGUUGUGAAGGAGUCCUUGCUGCAGCUUUUAAUAAGAGUUCGUCCCCUUCCUGGUUUGUUCGCUGAUCUCUGGUUUCCUCGGUGGCUUCUUCUUGGAUGAUUGAAACAGUAAAAAGAGGUUGAGGUUUUGGUUCAAUCAGAUGAAGUUGCGGUUUUGUAGGGGGGUUGGUCCCGGGUGUUUUGGUUCUUAGACCCAUGGUUUGGGGUCGGUGUGUGUGUGGUGCUAUUCGGCGUGGUUCUGGCUUUUCAUCGUGGACAGGAGGUUCAGGUGAUUUCGGUUCUGUUAAGUCAUUUUUGCCACUUAUCAGCUUGGUUGACUGUGGUCUUGUGAAAGACUUCCAGUUAUUUUUGGCCUUGACUUUGCUAUCUAUGGGUUUGUUAAAGGAUUGUAGGAAGAUUUAGUUGUAAGAAUUUGCGUUUGUAUAAGUUAUAUUGUAGUCUGGUCUUUGGUGCCCUCGUAUGGGUUUUAGUGUCUUUUCUAUGGACUUUUGUUUCCGGGGAUAUCAACGUGUUCCGCCGGCUUUUGUAUUCCAUCCAGUGUUUAAUAUAAUCAAUUGACGGA